UGCGUGUUUCUUCCCUCCCUCCAUCCGUCAUCUAUUUAAUGUGUGGUGCGCGUGGUUAAUCGCCAGUCACCAGCCGGAGUUCGGAAAGCUGUAGACGUUAAUAUUGGAGUUGUGAGACUUGUCUGGAAUCAGCAUGGUAUGGAGUGUUCCAUUUGGCUUAAUUUCAUGUAGUGACGAACAAUGUUCGUCCGUUGUUGACGCAUGUUUCUGUACGCAAGAUUGUGUGGCGAAGUCAGUCAAGUAUUAGACUUGCAUGACUCACGUGAGUUGGUAGAUUGAUACAUAUUUAUCAGAUGCUAGAGAUUAAUUUGGCCAAUUUUAGCUGAAAUAAGAGUUACUUCUCUUGAAUGUUACAUGUACAAAUUGCUUUGAAUUGCAUGAUGGUAUCAGUUUUCUGUGCUCAGUCCAGUGUUUUUCAAUUUUAUCAAAAGCGUUUGGUGAUUAAGAGUGUAAGCAGAUUUUUUCUCAUAAUGGACAUCGGUUUUAUUCCUGUUACUAUAUUCUCAUCUGUCUAGUAUUGACGGUGCUUACGGGUGUUUCCGUCCUGUAGAUUCUUUAUUGGUAGUCUGUCAACUCGUUUCAAUAUGAGUUCUAGUGUGGUGUUGGUGUUUCUUCAAUUGCCGAGUUCUUUCUCAGAUGUUGGAGUUCGCCAUGCUUAUUGGCCGUAAGGUGCAGGGUCUGGCCUAUGGGUUGAACUUUGAUUGGUGCUGAUGUGUGCCAUUCAUUUGAGAUGGUUUAGUUGGAGACAUCAAUGGCUGUACUAUAGUUUGCUAGUUGGCGGUGGAGUUUUUGCCGGCGCUUGUUCUUGGGUUCACUUGGCUGUGUUAAGUCAAUGGUCGUUGGGGAUUCCCAAUGAGUUGGUCUUCGCCGGGUAUUGCUGUUGGUAUGUUAUGAAUUCUUAGGAUUACUUUACCCCUCGGGAGUGUUCUUGGGCUGGUGAAUUUAUUGCUGUUAGCCGGGUGGAUUUGGACAGUUGGAGUUUACCAUUCACCUGAGGUGAUUACCGCAUUUUAAUGGGAAAUUCAACUUCAGGCGUGGAGAUGAGGGUCUACAUAUCAAUUUAUUGUUCCGGAGGUAUUAGGGAUUGGUGCAAACAGUUCACGGUUGUUUCGUUUGUCGAAAACGUGGGAGUCUUCUACAUGGUAAGUUGUACUUCGAAGUGGGGACUUUGGAGGUUUAAUGACUGAAUACCGUCGAUCCGUUGGUUUUCCUUUUGACUGGGUUUAAUAAGGUACUUUAUCAGCUAUGUAGAUUUUAUUUAUUCUAUUUCUGAUUUAUUCUCUCUUCUGAGACCUGUUCUUAACCUUUAUCAACCUGUUUGAUUUUUGCCGUUGGAACUGUCGGUGGUUCUAUGUUAAUCGCCACAUUUGCUUUUUGCCCUAGUUGUUUAUUUCGUCAGGGCCAUUCCAACUCUGCUCGUUAAUGGGCUAUUUUCUGACUUUGGAACGUCAAUGCAGUAGUGUAUGUACCCGUGGGGGCUUCUCGCCAGCUUUGCAUAUUAACCCUAUCGUCCAUUCAGUUUUCCAUUGUCGAUGUGUUAUGCCAACCAUGGCGGUUAUGUCAUGCUUGUACUUGUUAUGGUAUGUAACAUGUUUGGAGUGGUGCAUAGCAUCAGUUUUCGUUUAGUUAGUUGGGUAUUUUUCCGUGGGACUAAUUGACAUGGAAUAAAAAUUGUAAGUAUCAAUAUUGAUAUACAGAAGGUGAAUUAUAAGAUAUUAUUUUCAUAGGAUAGAUAAAUAUUUGAACAUAUUAAAAUAAUAUAUUAAUGCACAAUAUUAUUUAAUUGCACGAUUUUUUAUCCUGUAAAGUAAGCAACUGUAUCACUAGUGGCUUCAUGUAUAACUAUUAUUAAAUAUUAUCUUUGUUAAAAUGAUAAGUAACAUUGGUUUUCUUGUUCUGAUAAAUUGCUUUAUUGAACGUUUUAGAUGUUUUUAGUUAUUAGGUCUGUUUCCGGAAGUGGGUUUUAUAAUACAGGGUUGCCACCAUU
rnacentral:lncRNA from 1 species